rfam:Dorea sp. 5-2 genomic scaffold acPFE-supercont1.9, whole genome shotgun sequence.
UGAUAGCGUCGAAGCGAGAGGUUGCUGCCCGUAAGUGGCAGGUUUUCCGUGGAGCGAAUGUCAAGUUAAGAAACUGGCGACAA